UACGGGGGGGGCAAGCGUUGUUCGGAAUUACUGGGCGUAAAGGGCUCGUAGGCGGCCAACUAAGUCAGACGUGAAAUCCCUCGGCUUAACCGGGGAACUGCGUCUGAUACUGGAUGGCUUGAGGUUGGGAGAGGGAUGCGGAAUUCCAGGUGUAGCGGUGAAAUUCGUAGAUAUUGGGAAGAACACCGGUGGCGAAGGCGGCGACCUGGUCCAUUACUGACGCUGAGGCGCGACAGCGUGGGGAGCAAACAGG
rnacentral:rRNA from 1 species